rnacentral:rRNA from 1 species
UACGUAGGGGGCAAGCGUUGGCCGGAAGCACUGGGCGUAAAGCGCGCGCAGGCGGCUAUCUACGUCCGGGGUGAAAGCCCAGAGCUCAACUCUGGGACUGCCUUGGAUACGGGAUAGCUUGAGGAUCGGAGAGGCAAGGGGAAUUCCACGUGUAGCGGUGAAAUGCGUAGAGAUGUGGAGGAACACCUGUGGCGAAGGCGCCUUGCUGGCCGAUUUCUGACGCUGAGGCGCGAAAGCGUGGGGAGCAAACAGG